rnacentral:rRNA from 1 species
UACGAAGGGGGCUAGCGUUGCUCGGAAUGACUGGGCGUAAAGGGCGCGUAGGCGGUUUGUACAGUCAGGUGUGAAAUUCCCGGGCUCAACCUGGGGGCUGCACUUGAUACGUAGGAACUGGAGUGGGGAAGAGGGUCGUGGAAUUCCCAGUGUAGAGGUGAAAUUCGUAGAUAUUGGGAAGAACACCGGUGGCGAAGGCGGCGACCUGGUCCUUGACUGACGCUGAGGCGCGAAAGCGUGGGGGAGCAAACAGG